rnacentral:lncRNA from 1 species
GUAAUUGUUAAUUAGAAGCUAAUUAUCUUCUAUUGGUAAGUGAUUCACAGGUGUUCUGAGCCUUACAAAAAGAGGCAGGGAUUCUUAAGAUAAUUCUGACAGCAUUGUGACUUUGUUGCAAAAUCUGUGUGUUACUGUCUGUUGUAGUUCAGUGUAUUAAUUUAAUUAAUGGACUGUUAGUCCUUUUUGAAUGGAAGGCUAGGGAAAACAAGAUAAACUACUGUAGGCUUUUGGGGGCAAGUAUAACUUUCUGGAAAGCAAAUCAAACUCACCUUGAAGUCUUUGCAUGCUGUGAGUUCUGUUGCUAGUGGAUGCAGUCUACCUGAAACUAAUCUGCAUAAAGAAGAGAAAUGGAAGAAAUAAUACCUGUCAGCAUCAGCAUAGGUAAUCUGCAUCCCAUAGCAGAGCAGAUCUCCACACUGCAGCCUGUGGAGGAGCCCCCAGUGGAGCAGGUGGAUGUGGCCUGGAGGAGGCUGCAGCCCAUGGAGAGCCCCCGCAGGAGCAGGCCCUGGGCCGGAGCUGCAGCCCGUGGAGACGAGCCCACGCAGGAGCAGGGGAUCCUGCCUCUUUGAAGUUCCUGUGGCACACUGUAGCUUUCACUCAAAAGAUUUUUGUGAUAGUUUGGUAGCAGUGCUCAGAUAUUAAAAUGUUAACAGUAGCCAAGCACUUGGGUUUAGGCAGUGGGCUAGUCAUGACAUGGGGAGAAAAGGUGUUAAAAAUGAUUCUGAUGACAGGUGUUUAUUUAAAAGAAAUGUGGGGAGCCCAUAAGCAACUACGAACUCAAAUCACAUUAUGACAGGAUGGAUAAACACCAUGCUUACUCACCAUGGGCUGUAAGGUACAUCAGUGUGAAAAUAUUGCUGAGUACUGCAUUUGAGGCACCCAAAAAUACAUGUAACAGUUGGCUUGCAAAACUGGAGUGCUCUGAUGGAUGGCUACAAACUCUUCAGAAGGGAUGGGCUAGGAAGAAGCAGCAGGGGUAGCCCUGUAGGAUAGGGAAAAACAGGAGUUCCUGGGGCUAUCAGGAAGGUCAUUCUAGGUAACUGCAAGAAUUUCAUCCCCUUUGGUGUGAUGAUAUUGCUGGUUUUCUGAUGUAUCCCUACUAGAGAAAACAAAAGUUUUUAGACAAUCAUUUCCUAUAACUAGUAGGUACAAGUAUUAUAUCUUACCUAUUACUGAGCUAUAAAACCUCUAAGACAUUUAUCUAAUUUGAAACAUGUUUCAAGUAAUGUUUAUUUUACAAAGCUCUUUUCUUUAUGGUCAGGUAUGCUCUCUGUAAAACAGGAAAUUAUUUAAACUUUAUCUGUCAAUAAAAUCCCAACCGUAUGUUUAUGAUGUCUCA